UUAACAACGAGAGCAACACAUUUUCACAGUGUACAGAAGGAUUAUUCCACCGCAUGCUAUAGUUUGGAAUGGAAAUUUUUUCUAUGAGAUAAGUGGUUUUACUCCAGCAUGUGCCCUUGUCAUGAUGAGCUGUCUUGCCUGAAGCAGUGGAAUAAAACCUCUAAAACUAUAAGCCAAAGUUCUACCCAUACCCUGGAGCCUGGUGUGAACAGGUCAACAACAGUAAUUCCUGUGUGAUGAGGAUGUCUGAGUUUUAACAAUACUUUAUGUAGACUUUUAGAGUCCUUCCUCAUGCAUGACCAGCGUCCUGUUCCAGCCUACCAUCAAAUGAGGAUUCAGGGACCACAGAAGGGCAACUCAACAGCAACACAAGGACUGGUAGUCAAAGGGCAAUUGAAGAGGCUGACACCUGAGAAGAUGUCAGUGCACGUGCAUAACUAUAGCCCCUCUGUCCACGUGAAUUACUGCAUGGGGAACAUUGAAUUACUAACCAUUUUCCUACAGCCUUCCCUUCAGAGCACCGGGUUAACACAAAGCAGAAAGGAAGUUUCCAGUCACCCAGCAGUACGGAGCUCCAACAUGGAAAUAAAGUUGAGUUCUAAAAAUAGUGUGUUUCCUGUGUGCCUGACUGAAAUGGGAAAAUUCAAUCGAUUAAAUCUAUUUUAUAACACUUAAUCCUCAUUUACAACUUCGCAAACCUUGAAUU